UACAGAGGUCUCAAGCGUUGUUCGGAUUCAUUGGGCGUAAAAGGGGUGCGUAGGUGGCGUGGUAAGUCGGGUGUGAAAUUUCGGAGCUUAACUCCGAAACUGCAUUCGAUACUGCUGUGCUUGAGGACUGGAGAGGAGGCUGGAAUUUACGGUGUAGCAGUGAAAUGUGUAGAGAUCGUAAGGAAGACCAGUGGCGAAGGCGGGUCUCUGGACAGUUCCUGACGCUGAGGCACGAAGGUCAGGGGAGCAAACGGG
rnacentral:rRNA from 1 species